AGAAUGACAGCUUCCUCUGCUGAAGGCCAGGCUUGAUGGAAGACUGCCAAGGCUGUUCAUGUGCAGCCCUUGCCGAACGGAAGCUAGCAUCGACUGGGCCAAUUCGUUCGUGCAUCACCAGCCGACCCGAGGAUCAGGUCCAUGGCAGUCUGCAAAGGUUGUUGAUGGUGCUCUAAUGAAGGACUCCCCUUCCUGGGUGCAUGGUUGACUUGCAUCACAAGCUG